rnacentral:tRNA from 1 species
UGAAAGGCGGAAAGAUCCUUCUGAUCGAGUCAUAUCAUUCCAUUAUAUUGACAAUUUCAAAAAACUGUUCAUAC